UCCCACACUCAACCAGCUGAGCCACACAGAUCACUUUCUCUGAAGGAAACCAGCUGCUCUACCUUGAGGACACUUGGACGUAACUGUGGAAAGACCCACAUGAUAAGAAACUAAAGCUUCCAGCCAAAAGCAAGCAAGGAAUUGAACUCUUGGUAUCACCAGUUUAUAAAUUAGAGGACUGAAAGCAAG